rnacentral:tRNA from 1 species
GAGAGUAUAGCUCAGUGGUAGAGUGCAUGCUUAGCAUGUAGGGGGUCCUGGGUUCAACCCCCGGUACCGCCU